UUCAUACAUUUGUCUUUAUCAGAAAUAUGCCAGUAAGAAGCAGAAGAAAAGAGAAGGAUAAAGCAGAAGGGAUAGAAUUGAGAUCAGAAGACAGAGGAAGACAUUUCCCUGGGACACUCUCAGGAUGAUCACGCAGCUCUAUAUUGCGGAAUAAUCGAAGUUUCCAAAGGCAUCGGCGAUCUCUUUUCUUAUUGCCAAGGAACCCUCGGAGGGAGGUGUUAGAAGUAGAUGUUCAUAACAGGGUCCAUCGUUGGAAAGUCCAACAUCCUCCGCAUCUCGAAGAUCACGAUGCCCAGAGACCACCAAUCUGCAGAUCUUGAAUACGGCAGCCUGGAGAGGACUUCAGGAGCCAUGUAGUCAUAGGUUCCAGUCAGGCUGCGUGUUCUGUCCCCAUAGCCAAUUCCUGCAAAAACAGUAACUGAUCUUCAGGGCAUACGAUCUUUUUGAUGCCGUGUGUUGCACAUGGAGAACCUGGAAUGAGAGAAUAUAUUGAGGGAAUUUUGAAGAAACACAGGAAGAUACAUGCAGAACCUCCAAACCCCUUGCAGAGAGCUCCAAGAAUCCAUCUUGCCCCCAACAUUGCAAGUUGCAGGUUGUACUGUAUCUUACUCUGGUUCCGUCGUCACAGCCGGUGGAAAGUCUUCUGCUGUGUUUUCUGGAUGAGUUGAGCCGAUGUUCACUUCAUCCGCAGACAUCUCACUAUAGGGAAAAUAAUCACUAAAACUGUUGGCCAAGCCCUCCAGCUCCAGUGAGGAGCAAAUCUGCUGGUGUCAGUAGCUGCUACUUCUCAAUCUCUCUCUGCGCUGAAAUGUCACCAGGCUCAAGAUUUUAUUCUCCACUGGAGUGUUCAUGUGGGAAUUGUUCAGCAAGAGUGAAAUUCCAUUUGAACAUUUUUUCAACUCCGAGGCUGUGGAUAAAAUCUCAGCUGGACUGAGGCUCUUCAGACCCAAGAUGUCUCCCGAAAGAGUGUACAUGCUGAUGAACAACUGCUGGUAAGAGUCCCGAACAACUGUGCAUGUGACGAAAGCCACGGAAAUUGCCGAAGCGCUGGAAGAAGACCGGAAUAUUACAGAAGAGAAGAAGAUGGCGCCCGUGAAUGCCCUGAAUCUACAAUGAGGAUUUAUGGAAUGAAUUGACGCGCGGCACAGUCCGGAACUGAUCAGUGCAAGGGAGCCGGCUUAUGAAAAAAGAAUAAGUCGAUUGGGACACUUUUGUAACACGUUAUGAGCACUUCAAGCACUUGCACAGCACUGGCAUCUUGUGGUGGAUUUUAGGAAUAUGCCAGUAAGAAGCAGAAGAAAAGAGAAGGAUAAAGCAGAAGGGAUAGAAUUGAGAUCAGAAGACAGAGGAAGACAUUUCCCUGGGACACUCUCAGGCUGCUUGCAACUGCCUGGUGGGGGAAUCAUUGGUCGUCAAGGUUUCAGAUUUCGGGAUGGCCAGGAGUGUUCGUGUGGGAAGUGUUCAGCAAGAGCGAAAUUCCAUUUGAAAUUUUUUUUCAUCUCCGAGGCUGUGGAUAAAAUCUCAGCUGGACUGAGGCUCUUCAAACCCAAGAUGUCUCCUGAAAGAGUGUACAUGCUGAUGAACAACUGCUGGUAAGAGGCAACAAGCUGGGCAGUCAGAAAGGGGGGAACACGUGCGUCUGCUGAUGCCCUCACCUACGCCCAGUGAGGAUCCCCGAACUGGAUCUUCAUGGGACAACUUCCUGCAGAGCCUCCAGCUGGUCCCACGUCGCAGAGGAUGGAUCUGCUGCCUGUAACCCCCCAGGAAUAUGCCAGUAAGAAGCAGAAGAAAAGAGAAGGAUAAAGCAGAAGGGAUAGAAUUGAGAUCAGAAGACAGAGGAAGACAACACAUUUCCCUGGGACACUCUCAGAGUGUUCGUGUGGGAAGUGUUCAGCAAGAGCAAAAUUCCAUUUGAACAUUUUUUUCAACUCCGAGGCUGUGGAUAAAAUUUCAGCUGGACUGAGGCUCUUCAAACCCAAGAUGUUUCCCGAAAGAGUGUAUAUGCUGAUGAACAACUGCUGGUAAGAGGAAACUGAAUAUGAUGUCAGGAAUACACAGGUAAGAGAACAGGUCUCUCUUGUCAACAAAUAUCCUCCGGCAACUUUCAGAACAACUUAACGGCCUUGUGUCAGGUGCGUUGAUUUUAGGCCUCAUCAUAUCCCCGCUAGUCGUUUCUAGCAGUGUUGCCAUAUAUUUUUGUGGAUCCCAUACCUGUACUGACAGACAAGCUUAAUGGUAUCUCUAUACAUGUAUAUUGAAUACACAUGUAUUUGCUGCCUUUGCCCAAAGAAAUGAUCGAAAAUCCAGAUAUGGCUUUAUCUUUAGAGGUUGUUUAGGGGUUAAGAUAUUUAUAUUUAACACUUUCCAGGUUUUCUGUUUAUAGAUCAAUGUGCCCCACUGGGAAAACAAUUCUCGAAAAAAAAACCACGUACUUUUUUAUAUGUAGGAUUUAUAUUCAUCUUGAUGUUUAUGUGGCAGCAUGAUUUGUGGCAUAUCAAGUAACAGUCGGCACUAAAUGGGGCUCUCAGAUCACCAUGAACAUAUUGAUUAAAAUAUUUAUAAAAUGUAAAGUUAAAACUUUUAUAAAGUCUGGACUCCAUGGAUUACCUAUAGAAAUGUACUACCUGGAUGAAAAGUCAUUGUUAACUCUUCUCCCUUAAAGCAGAAGGAAUGACAUAGGUAAUGUGAAACUACAUCAUAGGUACCCUAAGUAACCGCCUCUUACCCACCUUGAUCCCAACCCCAAUCUUGAAAAAAGUGUACACAUAAAAAAUGACAGUACACAUGUAAGCUGAAUUAUAAAAGUUUAUUACUUGUUAAAUGGUCCAGGAAAACAAAUGUGCAAUUUCUGUGUAUUCACAUUUCUGUGACAUGUUCAGAUCUUGCUGUCCCAGGACUAUGAAUGUUUGUAUCUUUAAUUUUUACAAAUAAAAAUUUAAAAAAAAAG